GCUGGGGAUAUAGUUCAGUUACUAGAGUGCUUGCCUCACAUGCACAAGGCCCUGGGUUCAAUUCCCAGCCCUGCA
rnacentral:tRNA from 1 species